CGGGACGGGUGAGUAACGCGUGGGUAACCUGCCUUAUACAGGGGGAGUAACAGUCAGAAAUGGCUGCUAAUACCGCAUAAGCGCACAGAGCUGCAUGGCUCAGUGUGAAAAACUACCGGUGGUAUAAGAUGGACCCGCGUUGGAUUAGCUUGUUGGCGGGGUAACGGCCCACCAAGGCGACGAUCCAUAGCCGGCCUGAGAGGGUGAACGGCCACAUUGGGACUGAGACACGGCCCAGACUCCUACGGGAGGCAGCAUG
rnacentral:rRNA from 1 species